rnacentral:rRNA from 1 species
UACGUAGGGUCCAAGCGUUGUUCGGAAUUACUGGGCGUAAAGCGCGCGUAGGCGGGUUUGCAAGUCGAUUGUGAAAGCCCUGGGCUUAACCCGGGAUGUGCAGUCGAAACUGUGAAUCUUGAGUGCCUGAGAGGAUGGCGGAAUUCCCGGUGUAGUAGUGAAAUACGUAGAUAUCGGGAAGAACACCUGAGGCGAAGGCGGCUAUCUGGCGGUGCACUGACGCUGAGGCGCGAAAGCGUGGGGAGCAAACAGG